UCAAAUACCAGAUUCUCAGAACCGGUAAUGGAAGUACAUUGAUGACCCAAUCCAAUUGAUUACUCAAAGGAUUAUUAGAAGCAGUUUUCUAUGUUCGACAAAGAUGAUUGUGAUUCAAAGAAGGUUCUAUUGAAGACUAAUUUGGUACUACUGACAUUGGAUUUUGAAGAAGGUACUUCAGGCCUUGAUCUGAGUAAUUACUCCUACUUGAUUAUCAGAUCACCAGAUCAGGAUGGGAACUUGCUUUAUGUGUUGAGUGCAUCUUCCCAGGGCUCGGAAUGUCAACUUUGAAUGGCACCACUGGUAGUAGGAAAAGAGAAGUUUUUACGGACGAAUCUUCAAGGGAUUUCAAUCUAACUCAGUGAUUCAGGGAUAUACAAUUACACAGUGAAUUGUAUCAAUGCUAAAUCCAUCCAGAAUCAACUGAACCAAAGACAGAGAACUGUGGAGGUUUAAGGAUAUAAUUAUUGAGUUACUACCGCACCAAAUCAGUUUCGUGCAUUUAUGUCAGAACCUUAGGAUUGAACAGCAGAGUUUGUAACUGCUGAAUUUGAGGAAGCUCAAGUCGACGAAAG
rnacentral:lncRNA from 1 species